rnacentral:rRNA from 1 species
UACGUAGGGGGCAAGCGUUGUCCGGAAUCAUUGGGCGUAAAGAGCGUGUAGGCGGCCUUAUAAGUCGGCUGUGAAAGUCAAGGGCUCAACCCUUGAAUGCCGGCCGAUACUGUGAGGCUAGAGUCCGGAAGAGGCGAGUGGAAUUCCUGGUGUAGCGGUGAAAUGCGCAGAUAUCGGGAGGAACACCCGUAGCGAAGGCGGCACUCUGGGCCGUGACUGACGCUGAGGAGCGAAAGCGUGGGGAGCAAACAGG